UCAGCUAUGGCCCUGAUGAGGGUCUUCCACAUAAAAGAAUUGGGGUCGCCAGUGUUGUGGAAGAGCUUUAGAGCGUAAUUAAGAUCGCCCGAAGGGGAGAGAGCACAAAAUGAGAUGAGACGACUAGCGGCGUAGUUAGUGGAUGCGAGCGGAGACGAUCAUCUGGGCAUGGAUUUGUUUGAGUUGGUCCAUGGAUGUGCAUUUGUCUGCAAGGAAGGAGAGUUGCGGUGGUUUUGUUGGUUUGGGUGGUGAAAGAGGAAGUGGAGAUGGAGCAUGGGAAUGGAACGGGAGGGAGUGGAAGCAGCAGAGAGAGUGCAUGAAGUUGCAGAGAA